GGAGAGGCUGUGGCUCAGUGGUAGAGCAUUUGCUUGGGAUGCAGGAGGCGCAGGUUCAAUCCCCCACAUUUCCA
rnacentral:tRNA from 1 species